rnacentral:tRNA from 1 species
UCCCUGGUGGUCCAAUGGUUAAGAAUUCAUGCUUCCAAUGCAGGAGGUCCAGGUUUGAUUCCUGGUCAGAGAA